CCAAUAGCGUAUAUUAAAGUUGUUGCAGUUAAAAAGCUCGUAGUUGAAUUUCGGGAUCAAUAUGUCGGUCGUGCCUUCGGUACGUACUGGCAUCAUUGGUUUCUCCCUUCUGACAAACCAUGAUGUCAUUAAUUUGGUGUUAUGGGGAGUUAGGACUGUUACUUUGAAAAAAUUAGAGUGUUUAAAGCAGGCAUUAGCUUGAAUACAUUAGCAUGGAAUAAUGAAAUAGGACGUUUGACCCUAUUUUGUUGGUUUCUAGGAUCGACGUAAUGAUUAAUAGGGAUAGUUGGGGGCAUUAGUAUUCAAUUGUCAGAGGUGAAAUUCUUGGAUUUAUUGAAGACUAACUACUGCGAAAGCAUUUGCCAAGGAUGUUUUCAUUAAUCAAGAACGAAAGUUAGGGGAUCGAAGACGAUCAGAUACCGUCGUAGUCUUAACCAUAAACUAUGCCGACUAGGGAUCGGAUGAUGUUAAUUUUUUAAUGACUCAUUCGGCGCCUUACG
rnacentral:ncRNA from 2 species